CGCUGGCGGCGUGCCUAACACAUGCAAGUCGAACGAGAAAGCGGGGGCAACCCUGUGAGUACAGUGGCAGACGGGUGAGUAACACGUGAACAACCUACCCUUGAGUGGGGAAUAACACCGCGAAAGCGGUGCUAAUACCGCAUAACAUCUUUGGUUCGCAUGAACUGGAGAUCAAGAGCGCAAGUUGCUUGAGGAGGGGUUCGCGGCUGAUUAGCUAGUUGGUGAGGUAACGGCCCACCAAGGCAACGAUCAGUAGCCGGCCUGAGAGGGCGAACGGCCACACUGGAACUGAGACACGGUCCAGACUCCUACGGGAGGCAGCAGUGGGGAAUUUUGCGCAAUGGGCGAAAGCCUGACGCAGCAACGCCGCGUGGAGGAUGAAGGCCUUCGGGUCGUAAACUCCUGUCGAUGGGGACGAAAGCCUCGCGAGAGGUAUGACUGUACCCGUUGAGGAAGCCACGGCUAACUCCGUGCCAGCAGCCGCGGUAAUACGGAGGUGGCAAGCGUUGUUCGGAAUUACUGGGCGUAAAGGGCGCGUAGGCGGCUUGACAAGUCAGAUGUGAAAGCCCCGGGCUCAACCCGGGAAUUGCAUCUGAAACUGUUGAGCUUGAGUUCUGGAGGGGAUGGUGGAAUUCCCAGUGUAGCGGUGAAAUGCGUAGGUAUUGGGAGGAACACCUGCGGCGAAGGCGGCCAUCUGGACAGUGACUGACGCUGAGGCGCGAAAGCUAGGGGAGCGAACGGGAUUAGAUACCCCGGUAGUCCUAGCCGUAAACGAUGGGCACUUGGUGUUGGGGGUAUUGAGUCCCCCGGUGCCGGAGCUAACGCGAUAAGUGCCCCGCCUGGGGAGUACGGUCGCAAGACUGAA
rnacentral:rRNA from 1 species